UUUUUUUUUUUUUUUUUGCAACGCGCGUGUUCACGUUUCGUCAACGUAAGUCGUUUUGCCGUGCCUUUAGAGUUUUGCGGACGUUUGAUCACGGCUGUCGCUGCACGGCGGCGAUCCAGCUGUAAGCCGCAAAAGUUCAGGCGGAACGCCUCAGCGUUUGCCGCGCCGUGUCCACAAAGACGUUAAAAGAGGUUUCUUUCAUGAGUAGAUUCGUCACGCAUACAGUAGGCUAUAGUUUGCAGCGAGCCGAAUUACUUUACGUGGUGAUGCAUGCGUGUCCUACCGAAUCAACCGGACCAUUGCUCCGGUUACAACAGAGUUGCAUCACGGAGUUUGCUUGUCGCUUUUCUGCUUCGCUCCACGGCCAAUAAAGCGUCCGGCAGAUACUCAAUUAGAUAACCAAUCGUUGUACGCAAUUAAUGUUAACAAAGUCGUCUUCGUGGUUUCAUUCAGACUGUUUUUUUGAAAAGUGUCGGCUCAUAUUGGACAAAAGAAAGAUAUCCGCGUGACAGCUUUACCGCCAAGAGCGGCAGAUGUUGCUGAUGAGACUGAUGUGUUUCACACAUGCAUUCGGUAGAGUUUAGUAAUAGCGUUUUUAUUAAUUCUGGCGAUGAAAAACAUCCGAGGGACUAUUAGCCUUACAGUGCACCGGGCCUGUUGAGUUUAUCGGAGUUGACCUUGGCCCAAACCUGAUGUAUCCUGUCACCCAUCGGGCCUUUCUUUUAGAUGAUGUUAAAACUUAAUAAGUAAGUAUAUAAACAUUUGUGUAAUAACACAAACAGGACAAUGCAUUAAAAAAUUGAACCGCGACUGAACUUUUUUUUUAACCCGGAGGUCAAAUUGUUUGGUAGCACAUCCAUCAAGUUAAUAAACCUACAGUUAGAAAUGUGCAAAAUUAAGUUCGGGUGACAUUUUAUAUAGCAGCAUCUGUGUUCAAAAUACACUGCUUAGAUAAAAGUAAUAAAGUUCUUGCGCCGCGGGGUAAUUUCAGUUUUUUUUUAUAUUGUGUCGGUCAUUUGAAAACACACGGUAACAAACGUAGCCUGUCGCGAAAUGAGUUGUUAAAGAUUUCGUGCUGCAGCGCAAGUGAAGCGUCUGCCAUUUAACAAACACUGUUCUUUGAUAAAUUACAGGAUUCAGGCCCACGGACGAACUUUUCUCCACACGGACGCGAAAGUUCAUCUGGGAACCACCGCGGAACAAACGCGUUCCUUUGCAUGCACAUCAUUUAUGGCUGUUUAUGACAAUGCAUUUGGUGUUAAAGACUUAAAAAGAAUAAAUUACUCGCGACCCCUCUUUGCAUUAUGAAACGCAUAGCCUAACUGAGGAGAACUAAAGAAUCUCUCUUUAUAUAUUUGCACGUGCUUUCCAGCAGGAUCGAGGAUCCCAGGGAUCUUCACGCAGAACAGCAGGCGAUUUAAACAUCAGCGCAACAGGUUAAAGAAACCAAAUUAAACAGGCUAUUAUUUGCGAUCAUCGCGAAAAUUUGUUUAAGAGUAGCCCAUAAUUUAAUCACAUUCUUCCAGGUGUUAGCCUACAAGUAACCCGCAAUCUCAAAAGUUUAACACGAGUUUAACACGUCAACCAAAAGCCCAUGGGAUCAUUUUUUUCUCUCCACGUUUUGGAAUAAAUGAAAACGCGGAAUAAGCGUUCGCAAAGGCCGUAGACCGACAACUUUGACACCGAACGGAUUGCCUAAAUGCGCGUCCACGCGGGAAUCAAUUCUUUAAAAAGCACAGCCGUCGGUGAAGGCUUCGCGGGGGUCAGAAUCGCUCCACGAGACACCAAAACGGUCAAUGCAAAUUUCAGCCAAAGAACCGGACGGUCAUCCGUAAGAAACGAGCGAAUCCGUGCGAGCGAUUCCAACAUUAGCCUAAUCUCCGUCAAUAAGAUUUCUGCUUGCCACGAUUGAACGAAUGGACUUGAAUUCGUUUGCUGAAGGACGUCAAAUGGUCUGUAUUUCUGCGAAACAGAAACAUGUCUUUGCCACGCCAGGUUUUUUUUUCUUUUUAACCACUGUCACCUAUAGCAGGCGUUCGGCGAAUUAAAACAAUGGCAUGCUUUUGAAAGAAUGUUUUUCCUCCGACCAAAUGAAUGGCUUUUUGCGGAAUCUGUUUAAAAAUUAAUACGCCCGUGUUCACUAGUUAUAAAUCGACGCAAGCGAUUAACGGGAACCGAAUCGCAGCGGCUAAAAUAAACAGUCUGCAAACUUUAUCAGCGUUACAGGGAAUCGUUUGAAUGAUAAAGCCGUUAUAUGUCCUGCCGCGAUGUUGUGCCCGUCUUUUAUUUGACGCGGAUUCGUGAAAAAAAAAAUCCAGCUAUGUUUGAGCAAGUCACACGAAUUCAACGCGCGGUAAAGUUUUUGACGCGUGAUCUGAGCGCGGUCUAAAGAUGUAAAGCUCGUUUGUGUCCUUGCACGUGGGGUUGUCGCCUCGUUUAUGUCUCAGACGAUUCAAGAGAGACUCACAACCGUAACUAGGCUAUUAUAAAAAAAAAGUGUCAGCACCCCUAGACGAUGAUAUAUUACGCUCUGUUCGUGUUACGUGAAAUCCGCGUGGCAUUCUACGCGGUUAUAUUCGUUAUGAACGCGGAAAUUGCUCGAGGCAGAGGCACCCAGGGUCAUUUGCAUUCAGAGCCAAAUAUAAAAUAACAAUCAAAUAAUUUCUGGCACUCACACGCCAGGUUUCGCGGCGUUAAAUAUCUUCAAAUCGACUCACAGUCGAUUCAUGUGCAUUUUUUUAAAACGUGAUUUAAAAAAAAAAAUUAAAGAGCAGAGAUGAAACAAAAGGUGAGUAGCUUUAUUUUAUUUUUUUAAAUAGCUUGCUAAACAUGGAAGAAAAUGAACGUACAAAAAGGUCCACAGUGUUAUUGUAAUACGAAUGACUGAACGAUUAAAAAACGUCCAAAUUGCGCAAUAUGCGUCUUAAUCCAGGUUUAUUAAUUCAGUGGGCCGUUUAUCCAGAGUGACUUCUGCUUUGAAGCUGGACUGAUGGACCUGUUUAGGUCAUUUUUCAUCUUUGCAAACUAAUCUUGGAGUUCAAGCUUGACAUACCUUUUCAAUGUGAUGAUCUAAUCCAGAAGGUUUUGCACCGCCCUCUCUUUUCAGUGUCUCACACCUGUCAUUGAAGAACAUUUCAAAGAAGAGAGGCUGUCCCUCGCCCACAGAUUGUCUAUCUAUAUCCUCAUAUCCAUCCCUCACGCUCCCUGUCUCUCCCUCACCAUCAAGUCAAACGGUUGUCUGCACCUCUCUGGGCUCAUCCUGGGUGUGCCUGUGUUCAUGAAAGUCUGGGCAAACUGAUCUAGGAUCAGAUUCCUCCUCGCUUUACAAUGAUAGCGACCCAAGCCUAUUUAUAAAGAGUUGCUGGCCUCUUCGAUUACAUACCCCUCUGCCUCUUCUCACAGAUCCCCACUGUAUCCAGGCUCCCUCGAUUGCCCUGUGAAACCAAACAAGAAAAUGGCCACAGAGGGGAAUUCAGAAGGGUGUGUGAGCGUGUGUGUGUACUAAAUACUAUGCCCAAAAAUAUAUUCUGACUCAUUUGGCAGAAACACUCCUCACUUAGACACAAAUGUAUGAUAAGUAACACAGAAAACGUGCUGCCUGGUCUAUUUAAUAACCUGCCGUUGAUUGUCCUUAAUUGAUUUUAAUUCUCCAUUUGACUUCGCCUGCUUCUGCUGGGCGGACGAGUCACGAGAGCUCGUGUAUUUCUCUCUGAAGGUGUUCUGCGGGAGAUGACAGGCCCAUGAAGAUGUCAAUACGUUUGCGAAAUGCCAUUUUCGGAGUAAUUUAACAAGUAUUCCAAAUCGGCCUCCCGUUCUCUGGGCCUGAGGGAAAUCAUUAACGGUGAGAGAGCUAGGCAGAUCCAGGAACAGGUCCUGCGUGUGUCCAGUGCCCUGCAUUACGGUUUCAGAGUCGCACUAGCUGGGCUGGAGGAGGAAAACUGCUGUGAAUUGUGUCUACUGACCUGACCAAAUUAAAACCGAACUCACAGAAGCCGUUUAAAUCAUACAGACACGCGUGCUUGCCUGUAACCUCCCUGCCCAGCUGCUGUCUGACUGCAUGACAAAGCUUCCAAGCGAAUACCAGAGACUUACACUCCUCGUAUAUUGCCUGCCUCUCCUCCUCCGAACCCCUCGCCCAUCGGAGCCGCAGACUCUCACACACCUGCUGUGUGCAUGUGCCUGAGUGCAUGUACCAGAGUUUGUGUGCAGGUAUGUUUGUUUGCAGCGCAGAGGUUUGCGCGCGCGUGUCUGGUACGGAUCAGGGCAUGCUUUCCUGGCAUCCCAGUCAUUUGCACUUGCUGGUGAGGCUUGCCAACACCACGCUUCAGCCUGUGAACACGCUUUCAACCCCCGACACGACGACGCUCACUAGCUGCAGACACUCCAGCGGCGGAGCUACCGAAACUGGACGGAAGUGCAUAGGUGGCGGUAAAAAAUGAAAUAUAAAUUAUGAAUGAAUUCAGAGACUCUUUGUACACGCCAGCUCUAACUAAGCUUGUUCUUGGAAUAGCACAUGUGUACGUGUAAUAUAUGAUUGUAUGAAUUAUGAAACAGAAAUGUCCACUUUGUAGCAGGGUUGCAAUCGUUAACUAAAACUAAAGCCAUAGAAAAUGUCAUGACUUGCAAUAAAAUAAACAUUACUUUUUUA